rnacentral:rRNA from 1 species
UUCGCCCUUAGAGUUUGAUUCUGGCUCAGGACGAACGCUGGCGGCGUGCCUAACACAUGCAAGUCGAGCGGAGGUAUAUACGAAGAAGUUUUCGGACGAAAUUGUAUAUACUUUAGCGGCGGACGGGUGAGUAACGCGUGAGCAACCUGCCUUUCACAGGGGGAUAAGGCGGCNNAAGCCGCUCUAAUACCGCAUGAGACCACGGUGAUGAUAUUACAGGGGUCAAAGGAGCAAUCCGGUGAAAGAUGGGCUCGCGUCCGAUUAGGUAGUUGGUGGGGUAACGGCCCACCAAGCCCGUGAUCGGUAGCCGGCCUGAGAGGGUGAACGGCCACAUUGGAACUGAGACACGGUCCAAACUCCUACGGGAGGCAGCAGUGGGGAAUAUUGGGCAAUGGGGGGAACCCUGACCCAGCAACGCCGCGUGAGGGAAGAAGGUUUUCGGAUUGUAAACCUCUGUUCUUGGGGAAGAGUGAAAGACGGUACCCAAGGAGGAAGCCCCGGCUAACUACGUGCCAGUAGCCGCGGUAAUACGUAGGGGGCGAGCGUUGUCCGGAAUGAUUGGGCGUAAAGGGCGCGUAGGCGGCUUUGCAAGUCAGUAGUGGAAGUCCAUUUUUCAAGGAUGGAAGUGCUACAGAAACUGCGGAGCUUGAGUGCAGGAGAGGUUAUCGGAAUUCCCGGUGUAGCGGUGAAAUGCGUAGAGAUCGGGAGGAACACCAGUGGCGAAGGCGGGUAACUGGACUGCAACUGACGCUGAGGCGCGAAAGUGUGGGGAGCAAACAAAAUUAGAUACCCUGGUAGUCCACACUGUAAACGAUGAAUGCUAGGUGUAGGAGGUAUCGACCCCCUCUGUGCCGCAGUAAACACAGUAAGCAUUCCGCCUGGGGAGUACGGUCGCAAGAUUAAAACUCAAAGGAAUUGACGGGGGCCCGCACAAGCAGCGGAGCAUGUGGUUUAAUUCGAAGCAACGCGAAGAACCUUACCAGGUCUUGACAUCCCUCUGCCGUGCACUGUAGUGGUGCAUUUCCCUUCGGGGACAGAGGAGACAGGUGGUGCAUGGUUGUCGUCAGCUCGUGUCGUGAGAUGUUGGGUUAAGUCCCGCAACGAGCGCAACCCCUAUUUCUAGUUGCCAUCAGGUAAAGCUGGGCACUCUAGAGAGACUGCCGGAGACAAUCCGGAGGAAGGUGGGGAUGAUGUCAAAUCAUCAUGCCCUUUAUGAUUUGGGCUACAAACGUGCUACAAUGGUCGGUACAACGGGCAGCGAACCGGUAACGGGGAGCCAAUCUCAAAAAGCCGAUCUCAGUUCGGAUUGAGGGCUGCAACUCGCCCUCAUGAAGUUGGAGUUGCUAGUAAUCGCGAAUCAGCAUGUCGC